CCUCCAAUGAACUAGAUUGAUACUUUCGGGGUUCCAAUACAAAUUCAAUGUCAACACAGAUAAUAGACAUUAUAGAUCAAACUAGAAAUAUAAUCUAUAUAGAAAUGAGCACAAUGAAACAAAAAUUGAAGUCAAAAUUACUCAAUGCUCAAUCAGCUGGGAUAUCCAAAAUAACAAGCAUCGUACACCAUAGUCUACAACUAGAAUUUCUUUCGACAACGUCUAAACAACAUAGAAUUGAAAACAUCAUGGAAAAAUCUUUACUUCGUUUACUGAUCUCCAGGAAUUGUCUUAAUGAUGUCGGAAUCACCUGAAAACACAAUAACAAAUAAAAUUAGAGGAAAAAAAGAAACUAGUUUUAAACAACACAGUUAAAGGAAGCAAUAUAUACCAGGAUCAACAAUGCUGAGGCAGCACACUCUGUAAUACUUUCCGCAAGCAGUGCCCAAGUCAACAUUGUCUAUGAUAACACAAAAGUUCAACUUGUCAAUAUAAGUGACUUACAAAUAUACAUGCAGAACCUUAAAGAGUCAAUUGAUAAAAGACAUCAUUGUAGUUGACAAUUAACAUCAAUAGGAAGAAAUCCAACAAUUCGAGAAACAACAAUACAACAACAGUAAGAAGUGCUAACCAAGGUUGGCCAGCAAUAGCAUAUGCAUAAUAAUCUAACUAUGCAUAUGCAUAAUCAUCAUACUAUGCAUCUUUCAAAAUUCAUUGCAUCUUUGGAAAACCAAUAGUAUACAUUAACAGAAGCAUAUUUGGAAAAUUAAUUGCAUCUUUCAAAAUUAGUUCCACAGAAAGAUUAUUAUAAUUUUUAACAAACAUCACAAAAGUUAAUACAAUCAAAACAUGCCCAUCAGCAGCGUAAACCAUAUUAAUUCAUUUACCAGAAUCUUGGAAGUUAAGUCAAAUGACAUUAUUGUACAACAGGGUUCGAUGUAUCACAUUCGUUCAACCAUUUAAAAUAUUCUCAGUACAACAGGGUUCAAUGUAUCACAUACUUUCAACCAUGUAUAAUAUUCUUUCAACAUGAUUAACAACUCUAUGCAUGACAAAUAUUACAAUAUUCAUUCAACAUACAAACUAACAAGUCAAUGCAUAGACAAUUACUACAUGUGACUGUGAUGUUAUGUUGGGAUAUAUGAAAUAACAUCAAUUUUAAAGUAUAUUAACCAGCUUAGUUCAUUUUAAUCAACUACAUUGGAUUUCAUGCUAUACCCCAGGUACAAACAUACACUAAAGUUCGGUUAGCUUGAAUCAAUCAGGAUCAAAAAUAAAGAAAAAAACACAUGAUAAAAAAUGAUUCCAAACAAUCACCCAUUGCAAAUCAACAUCGAAAAAAAAUAAACACCACAGAGAAGAAUAGGAGCUAGAUAAACAACUUACUUCCAUUGUAAUGGUGAACUCCAACCUUUGCUAACAUAGCAUAGUACUCAAUUUCAGACUUCCUCAAAGGAGGACAGUUGUUAGCAAUGAUAAUCAAUUUCCCUACAAAUAAUCAAAUCAAAAUCACUUAAUUCCACUUUCAAAUCAAUGUUCAAAACUCCAAAAUCACUUAAUUCCAUUAAUAAUGCAUAUCAAUUAAUUUCAACCACUUUCACUAAUCACUUAUUUCCAGUACAAAAUCAAUCUACAACAGUUCAAACUACAAAACAUCUAAACAAUUUCAAACAAGUCCUUGCAAUCUAAUCAAUUCAUAGCUUAUCAGCAAAAUAAAAACGACCCACUACACAUUUCAACAACAAAAUGGAUAAAAUUUUUACCUUUAGAACUCCUAAGGGAUUUGAGAACAGUUUUAUACCCAAGGGUAUAUUUUCCACUCUUCAUGACAAGAGCGAGCCUGUUGUUGAUGCUCUCAUGAGUCUUCUUCUGUAAAAAUCAAUCAAAAAUUCGAUUCAGAAUCAAAAACCCUAAAUCUGAAACAAAAUCAUAAUGAAAAAUCAAUAAAUGCUGAAUGACAGAAGCUUACGGUCUUCUUUGCGGCCACCAUUGUUGAAGGUUUG
rnacentral:lncRNA from 1 species